rnacentral:misc_RNA from 1 species
GUGAAUCAUCAAAUCUUUGAACGCAAAUUGCACUCUCCGGUUUUCCGGGAGAGUAUGCCUGUUUGAGGGUCUGUUUAAAAAAUAAUCGAGGCUGCUGCUGUGGUGGCGCUUCGGAAUUGGGUCAUCUUCCACCUUUCGGGGUUGUAAGCGACCUAAAAUUUUUCUUACGAUUUCUGAACGUAUUUAAAUUAUUUACUUACGCUCAUGAUAUCACAUAUUAGGUGCGGUCAUUCACAUGAUUUCGCGUCUAUAAUUUUUCAUUAUUUGACCUCAAAUCAGGUAAGAAUACCCGCUGAACUUA